rnacentral:ncRNA from 1 species
GACUCUGGAGAGUUCCCACUGCGUUGGGACGCCGAAGGGGCUAAAGCUCUCAGGCAUCGAGGACAGAGGGGC